rnacentral:rRNA from 1 species
UACGUAGGGUGCGAGCGUUAAUCGGAAUUACUGGGCGUAAAGUGUGCGCAGGCGGCCACGCAAGUCGAGUGUGAAAGCCCCGGGCUUAACUUGGGAAUUGCGCUCGAAACUACGUGGCUGGAGUGUGGCAGAGGAAGGUGGAAUUCCACGUGUAGCGGUGAAAUGCGUAGAUAUCGGGAGGAACAUCAGUGGCGAAGGCGGCCUUCUGGUCCAGUACUGACACUCAAGUGCGAAAGCGUGGGGAGCAAACAGG